GAUGAAGAACGUAGCGAAAUGCGUUAAGUAAUGUGAAUUGCAGAAUUCAGUGAAUCAUCGAAUCUUUGAACGCACAUUGCGCCCGCCAGUAUUCUGGCGGGCAUGCCUGUUCGAGCGUCAUUUCAACCAUCAAGCCCCAGGCUUGUGUUGGGGACCUGCGGCUGCCGCAGGCCCUGAAAACCAGUGGCGGGCUCGCUGUCACACCGGGCGUAGUAGAUUUUAUCUCGCUCAGGGCGUGCUGCGGGUCCCGGCCGUUAAAAGCCUUUUUUUACCCAAGGUUGACCUCGGAUCAGGUAGGAAGACCCGCUGAACUUAAGCAUAUCAAUAAGCGGAGGA
rnacentral:misc_RNA from 1 species